rnacentral:rRNA from 1 species
AACGCGAAGAACCUUACCAGGUCUUGACAUCCCCCUGAAUAGUUUAGAGAUAAGCUAGGCCUUCGGGACAGGGGAGACAGGUGGUGCAUGGUUGUCGUCAGCUCGUGUCGUGAGAUGUUGGGUUAAGUCCCGCAACGAGCGCAACCCUUGAUGUUAGUUGCCAGCGAGUAAGGUCGGGCACUCUAACGUGACUGCCGGUGACAAACCGGAGGAAGGUGGGGAUGACGUCAAAUCAUCAUGCCCCUUAUGACCUGGGCUACACACGUACUACAAUGGCCGGUACAACGGGAAGCGAAGCCGCGAGGGGGAGCGAAUCCUUAGAAGCCGGUCUCAGUUCGGAUUGCAGGCUGCAACUCGCCUGCAUGAAGUCGGAAUUGCUAGUAAUCGCGGAUCAGCAUGCCGCGGUGAAUACGUUCCCGGGCCUUGUACACACCGUAGAGAC